UACAGAGGUCUCAAGCGUUGUUCGGAUUCAUUGGGCGUAAAGGGUGCGUAGGUGGCGCGGUAAGUCGGGUGUGAAAUCUCGGAGCUUAACUCCGAAAUUGCAUUCGAUACUGCCGUGCUCGAGGACUGGAGAGGAGACUGGAAUUCAUGGUGUAGCAGUGAAAUGCGUAGAGAUCAUGAGGAAGACCAGUGGCGAAGGCGGGUCUCUGGACAGUUCCUGACACUGAGGCACGAGGGCCAGGGGAGCAAACGGG
rnacentral:rRNA from 1 species